AUAAUUGUCAUAGUGGUGUAGUAUUCUAGUCAGUAUUCUAUAUCAUGAAGGCGGGGCUAAAAAUCCGCCAAAGAGCGUAUCGAUGAAGUUCUUGAUUUGUGCUUGUGACGCCCAGUCAUGGGCAUUCUUUGAGAGUAAGGCAGAUGGGGCGAUCUACAACGGCAUGUAGGCGUUGACCCUGCUGUCGCGGAGGCGUAAGAUUAUCUUAUGUAGACCUAUUUUUUUAAAUAGUGUAGCUUGCCUUGAGUGAUCUAGUGCGGAUGAUAAGGUCUUUUUAUUGAACUUGUGGCCAAAGAUCAAUAAAAAAAGUUAUCGAAACCUAAAUUGCAAAAGAGGCUAAGGAUAUAAAAUACUGUUUGGGAAAACUUCUAGACUAAAUCGUAAGAUGACUAAAAAGGGAUUACAGUGCGGACUAAGUGGCAAUCCAGUAUUAUAUUUGGCGACAAUAUAAUUACUAAAUUAAUGGGAAACCGCUAUGAUUGGUGACAUAUAGCCUUAGUAAGGGAAAACCAACUGGACCUAAGCCGUAAUAUUUACUUUUUUAGUUUCCACUAAGCUG
rnacentral:sRNA from 1 species